rnacentral:rRNA from 1 species
AUGUGUGUGCCAAAAGAGAGAGGAGGAAUGGGCUUCCGAGAUGUCUAUAGUUUCAACUUGGCGAUGCUAGCAAAACAGUGUUGGAGGCUUAUUGAGAAUUAUGGAUCCUUGUGUGCUCGCGUCCUUAGAGCAAGAUACUACCCUACGGGAGACAUUCUCAAUUGUGAACUUAAAAAGGAAUCCUCUUACGUAUGGCAAAGUAUUUGGGCUGGUGUCCAGACUUUCAAAAAGGGGUGCAUCUGGAGAGUGGGAGACGGUGCAAAGAUAAAUAUAUGGAAUGACUGCUGGAUACCGAAUAGUGCGUCAAGGAAAAUCAUAACUGUCCAGGGAAACCAAGUGCUAACCCGGGCAUGUGAGUUAAUAGACCCAAUUUCUGGAGAGUGGGAUGAGCAGUUGAUCCGUGAGAACUUCUGGCACAUUGAUGCCGAGCGCAUCUUGCAGAUCCCUUUAUUUCAUGCGGACACAGAAGAUUUUGUAGCAUGGCAAUUAACAAAGAACGGGGUUUUCUCAGUUCGGUCUGCGUAUUAUAAACAAUGGGAGGCAAAUUUUGAUGAGAAUGAUCUGGGCCUAGUACGUUACUCCAUGGCGCCACACCCAAUCUGGCGCAAGUUAUGGAGUCUGAAGGUGCCAGCAAAGAUAAAGAUUUUUUUGUGGCGAUGCUUACACAAUGCUAUCCCAUGCUUUAGUGUUCUCGCAAAUCGCCAUAUAGGGAGUAUAUCUCAAUGCCCAGUCUGCCAAGAUGGUGCGGAGGAUAUAUGUCAUGUCCUAUUCCAGUGUGCACGAUCGAAGGCCGUUUGGGAUGCACUCGGACUCAGUGAAGAGAUUCAGUCUGCUGUU